rnacentral:rRNA from 1 species
UACAGAGGUGGCAAGCGUUGUUCGGAAUUACUGGGCGUAAAGGGCGCGUAGGCGGUCUUUUAAGUCUUGUGUGAAAUCCCUCGGCUCAACUGAGGAACUGCACGGGAUACUGGAAGACUUGAGUUCGGGAGGGGGAAGCGGAAUUCCGGGUGUAGCGGUGAAAUGCGUAGAUAUCCGGAGGAACACCGGUGGCGAAGGCGGCUUCCUGGACCGAUUACUGACGCUGAGGCGCGAAAGCUAGGGGAGCAAACGGG